rnacentral:rRNA from 1 species
UACGGGGGGAGCAAGCGUUGUUCGGAAUUACUGGGCGUAAAGGGCGCGUAGGCGGCCUUCUAAGUCAGACGUGAAAUCCCCCGGCUUAACCUGGGAACUGCGUCUGAUACUGGAAGGCUUGAGUGCGGGAGAGGGAUGUGGAAUUCCAGGUGUAGCGGUGAAAUGCGUAGAUAUCUGGAGGAACACCGGUGGCGAAGGCGGCAUCCUGGACCGACACUGACGCUGAGGCGCGAAAGCUAGGGUAGCAAACGGGG